rnacentral:rRNA from 1 species
AGGGGUAGAAGCAGCUUGCUGCUUUGAGACCGGCGCACGGGUGCGUAACGCGUAUACAAUCUACCUUUUACAGAGGGAUAGCCCAGAGAAAUUUGGAUUAAUACCUCAUAGUAUUUUCGAAUCGCAUGAUUUGAUUAUUAAAGUUCCAACGGUAAAAGAUGAGUAUGCGUCCCAUUAGCUAGAUGGUAAGGUAACGGCUUACCAUGGCAACGAUGGGUAGGGGUCCUGAGAGGGAGAUCCCCCACACUGGUACUGAGACACGGACCAGACUCCUACGGGAGGCAGCAGUGAGGAAUAUUGGACAAUGGGCGCAAGCCUGAUCCAGCCAUGCCGCGUGCAGGAAGACGGUCCUAUGGAUUGUAAACUGCUUUUAUACAGGAAGAAACACCUCUACGUGUAGAGACUUGACGGUACUGUAUGAAUAAGCAUCGGCUAACUCCGUGCCAGCAGCCGCGGUAAUACGGAGGAUGCAAGCGUUAUCCGGAAUCAUUGGGUUUAAAGGGUCCGUAGGCGGUUUAAUAAGUCAGUGGUGAAAGC